rnacentral:rRNA from 1 species
CUAAAAAUCCCGACUUCGGAAGGGAUGUAUUUAUUAGAUUAAAAACCAAUGCCCUUUGGGCUCCUUGGUGAAUCAUGAUAACUUCUCGAAUCGCAUGGCCUUGCGCCGGCGAUGGUUCAUUCAAAUUUCUUCCCUAUCAACUUUCGAUGUUUGGGUAUUGGCCAAACAUGGUCGCAACGGGUAACGGAGGGUUAGGGCUCGACCCCGGAGAAGGAGCCUGAGAAACGGCUAUUACAUCCAAGGAAGGCAGCAGGCGCGCAAAUUACCCAAUCCCGACUCGGGGAGGUAGUGACAAUAAAUACUGAUACGAGGCUCUUUUGGGCCUUGUAAUUGGAAUGAAUACAAUUUAAAUCUCUUAACGAGGAACAAUUGGAGGGCAAGUCUGGUGCCAGCAGCCGCGGUAAUUCCAGCUCCAAUAGCGUAUAUUAAAGUUGUUGUGGUUAAAAAGCUCGUAGUUGAACCUUGGGCCUGGCUGGCCGGUCCGCCUCACCGCGUGUACUGGUCCGGCCGGGCCUUUCCCUCUGUGGAACCUCAUGCCCUUCACUGGGUGUGACGGGGAAGCAGGACUUUUACUGU